UGGCGGCAGGCUUAACACAUGCAAGUCGAGCGAGGUCUUCGGACCUAGCGGCGGACGGGUUAGUAACGCGUGGGAACGUGCCCUUCACUGCGGAAUAGCCACUGGAAACGGUGAGUAAUACCGCAUACGCCCUUCGGGGGAAAGAUUUAUCGGUGAAGGAUCGGCCCGCGUCUGAUUAGAUAGUUGGUGGGGUAAUGGCCUACCAAGUCUACGAUCAGUAGCUGGUUUUAGAGGAUGAUCAGCAACACUGGGACUGAGACACGGCCCAGACUCCUACGGGAGGCAGCAGUGGGGAAUCUUAGACAAUGGGCGCAAGCCUGAUCUAGCCAUGCCGCGUGAGUGAUGAAGGUCUUAGGAUCGUAAAGCUCUUUCGCCAGGGAUGAUAAUGACAGUACCUGGUAAAGAAACCCCGGCUAACUCCGUGCCAGCAGCCGCGGUAAUACGGAGGGGGUUAGCGUUGUUCGGAAUUACUGGGCGUAAAGCGCGCGUAGGCGGAUCAGAAAGUUGGGGGUGAAAUCCCAGGGCUCAACCCUGGAACUGCCUCCAAAACUACUGGUCUAGAGUUCGAGAGAGGUGAGUGGAAUUGUGAGUGUAGAGGUGAAAUUCGUAGAUAUUCACAGGAACACCAGUGGCGAAGGCGGCUCACUGGCUCGAUACUGACGCUGAGGUGCGAAAGUGUGGGGAGCAAACAGGAUUAGAUACCCUGGUAGUCCACACCGUAAACGAUGAAUGCCAGUCGUCGGGCAGUAUACUGUUCGGUGACACACCUAACGGAUUAAGCAUCC
rnacentral:rRNA from 1 species